UCACAGCCACAUACCUUUGACACCAUAAAAUACCAGUCAGAUAACAAGAUAGUUGCAUCUAAGAACUUGUAGGCGCCUGACAUCAUCCUCCAGACAGCAGUUCUUUAAGUUAUAUAAUCUCUAGAUAUUAAUACUCAUUUUUCCUGCAGUGAGCGAAGAGGCCAGCUGUGAACAAGGACAGAUCUGGAGCAUGCUGUUCCUUCACACAUGCAGGGUCUCAGUCCAGCACUUGUGAUYUCCAACAAUAGACCCACUUUAAGUCUCCGCAUCAAACAUCCUCCUGAUCACUGGAGCUCAGCCUCGGUCCUGUGGAUGAAAAAUCGUUCUCCUGCCAAACCUCGCUGAGGAAAUGAGCCGUGUCAAAAAGACACAGAGCACAGCUGUCAGAGUGUGAAAACUUCUGGUCAGCUCCUGAUGGAUAGUUUGGCCUCCCUUCACAUCCAAUGAUCUGCUUUUCRCUCCAUGAUCCACAAUGUGACCGGAUCGUGACAAUCUUGGAAAAUUAUGAUGCUGCUGCAGACAAUACUCAUCCAGUUCAUCCAUCCAUCCAUCCAUUAUCUUUGGAUAAAUAUAUGCUAAAUAAAGAUAUGAUGAAUA